UUUUUUUUUUUUUCAAAAAGAAAAAUGCUAGCAAUAUUGAUUGCUUACAUACAUUUUGGCGCAUUCUACAGUAAUUCUUGUGACAGUAAGUUUCCUUGGUAGGGAUGAUUCACUUGCUACCUGUAUGAUGGAUGUGCCCUGGGCUGUUAAGCAACCUGAUUGCUUAGCUAAUUUCAAAGAGUUUGCACUGAUUUUAUUGCCUUUCGCUUUAGAUGGCAUAGGAAAAGAAGCUGGGAAAUGAACUGUACUAGUUCACUGGUCUUAUUCUACAAUACCAGAGAGGUUUUCACUAGGAAAUUAGAACUUACUUAUGGAUUAUGAGAAAGGAUGGUGGCAGAUUCCCCAACUUACCCAUGAAGGAAAAUAAAUUAUUUACCUGAAACAUAAGCUGUUUUGGCAUCAAUUCCUUUUUUGCUGCCAUUUUCUUUGAAUUGGAGAGAAUUAUGUAUAUGUGUAUGUGUGUGUCAUUUAUUCUAUUAAGCACCUAAAGGUCCUAAACAAUGGUAAUUUAAAAAAUUAUUUCUAAUAUGCUAAUUUAUUUUAAAAUUUAUCAAGUAUUUAUUUGAAUUUAAUUUAUCAAGUACAUGAGUCACAAGGACUGUAUCACCUA
rnacentral:misc_RNA from 1 species